UUUUCGGAGAGUUUGAUCCUGGCUCAGGACGAACGCUGGCGGCGUGCCUAAUACAUGCAAGUCGAGCGGACAGAAGGGAGCUUGCUCCCGGAUGUUAGCGGCGGACGGGUGAGUAACACGUGGGUAACCUGCCUGUAAGACUGGGAUAACUCCGGGAAACCGGAGCUAAUACCGGAUAGUUCCUUGAACCGCAUGGUUCAAGGAUGAAAGACGGUUUCGGCUGUCACUUACAGAUGGACCCGCGGCGCAUUAGCUAGUUGGUGGGGUAAUGGCUCACCAAGGCAACGAUGCGUAGCCGACCUGAGAGGGUGAUCGGCCACACUGGGACUGAGACACGGCCCAGACUCCUACGGGAGGCAGC
rnacentral:rRNA from 1 species